GACGAACGCUGGCGGCGUGCUUAACACAUGCAAGUCGAACGGAAAGGCCCUGCUUUUGUGGGGUGCUCGAGUGGCGAACGGGUGAGUAACACGUGAGUAACCUGCCCUUGACUUUGGGAUAACUUCAGGAAACUGGGGCUAAUACCGGAUAGGAGCUCCUGCUGCAUGGUGGGGGUUGGAAAGUUUCGGCGGUUGGGGAUGGACUCGCGGCUUAUCAGCUUGUUGGUGGGGUAGUGGCUUACCAAGGCUUUGACGGGUAGCCGGCCUGAGAGGGUGACCGGCCACAAUGGGACUGAGAUACGGACCAGACUCCUACGGGAGGCAGCAGUGGGGAAUAUUGCACAAUGGGCGGAAGCCUGAUGCAGCAACGCCGCGUGCGGGAUGACGGCCUUCGGGUUGUAAACAGCUUUCGCCUGUGACGAAGCGUGAUUGACGGUAAUGGGUAAAGAAGCACCGGCUAACUACGUG
rnacentral:rRNA from 1 species